GACGUAGGGCGCGAGCGUUGUCCGGAUUUAUUGGGCGUAAAGAGCUCGUAGGCGGCUUGUCGCGUCGACUGUGAAAACCCGCGGCUCAACCGUGUGGUCUGCAGUCGAUACGGGCAGGCUGGAGUUCGGUAGGGGAGACUGGAACUCCUGGUGUAGCGGUGAAAUGCGCAGAUAUCAGGAGGAACACCGGUGGCGAAGGCGGCUUCCUGGACAAAAACUGACGCUGAGGCGCGAAAGCUAGGGGAGCAAACAGG
rnacentral:rRNA from 1 species